UUUUGUGUGUUUGGAUGUGUGUGUGUCGUGGAGGAGUGAUCUGUGCCUGUCCUUGUGGGUGUGUGACGAACCAGGCGUGAGCAUUCAGCAUUUGACUAAACACACUCACGCAGAGACUAUCCCUUUAAACCUUCGUCCCUUUAAACCGUACCCAAAUAAACGCUUUCGAUUCGCGUAGGCAGACCAGGCUAGCUCUCUCUGACCGGGCCAUGUGACGUAUUUUUAGUCAUAUGCUCCUAGUGAGAGUAACCCGCCGGCUAGGGAGUCUGGGAGUGUUAACUGGUUAUUUAACAGAGUAGAAGAUGAGAGAGAGACUGGGAUGUGUGAUGGAUGAGUGACAGGGAAAAGAAGGGUGUAAUCUGUUUGACGUAAGGGUGACAGGCUGUGUGCGUCCGUGUGUACAUGUAUGUGGGUGACUGGGUGUGUGUGGUGGGUCAGUGUCCGUAUGUAUGUGUGUAUUACCCUUGUGAGACCCGCUCUGUGUGUGUGUGUGUGUGUGUGUGUGUGUGUAGGGAGGGAGAGACACGUGAGUAAAGAAGGGAGGAUGGGGGUCAGGAAAGAGAAGGAGGAGGAAGAGGGCUGACUGGGUGGAGCUCUUAAAGAAAGUAUUCAGAAAUUACGUGUUUUCUUGACGGCUUCGCUGAGUCACUGUGUUAGGGAAGAGGAAGAGGAGGAGGAUGAGGAUAUAGAAGUGAUGUAAGCAUAGUGUUGCCAUGGUGACGGUGGUGGUGGGCAUGAUACAGAUGCGGGAGCUGGAGUUUGUGCCCGAUGGAGACAUGCAGCUGGACAAAUUCUGUUGCUCAUUGGUCAGACUGGAGUUUACAUGUGUACUUCCUUCACCAUCAUUGGUGGACACUUCACCAUGAGUGAUGCUUGAGCUGUCACGGUGCUGCUGCUGUUGUCUGCCAUCAUCCCCCUGACACAGACCACCCUGCAGACCACCUUCAUCCUGGGUGCCACACGUCACUGCUGCUACAACUCAGAGCAACUGGAGCGCAAGCCAGGAAGGGAGAUAGAGGCCAUGUCGGAGGUGCCGGUGGUGGGGUCGCCAGUUCCGGAGUACGAGGUGGAGGAGGAAAAGGAAGAGGAGGACGAGGAGGAGGCACGGAUAAGGAAGAAGAAAAGAUUAUUACCUGUAGCCCUCCCUCCAGCUGAUAAGGGGAUAUUAAGGAGCCCUUCCUACAGGUUCGUUCGAUGCAAGGAGUUGGCACAGGAGGCGUCCGAGGCUGUGUAGAGCGGCCGUCUGAACCUGGUGCCACAGCUUACUAUGUUCAACAGAUGCCUGAAGGAAGUGUGUGUAAGGAAGGAUAAAGAGAUCAUGCUGGCCUAUGCAGACGAUGUCGCUGUCGUGACAGGAAGCCAACAAGAUCUUCAAGAGGCCAUGACAAGAUGGAAUGAUGUUUUAAAUAGGGAAGGAAUGAGAAUGAACAAACAAAAAACUUAUUUACUAGUGGACAAGCAACAAGUGAUGGUGUGGCUCUGAGCCACUGUAGUAGGGAUGUUAUGGUUUAAGUGUAGGAAGUUGCAAAUGCUCACCUAACAAUUGCACCUUAGUAGAAAAACACAAACAGGAAGUUUAUGCAAGUUUUUAUCCUUAUAUAAAAUGUUGUAUUGCAUCAAACCUCCAUACAUUACUGUCUCUAUCCAGUAUGAGACCGGUGUUCAGGAAGCACAAGCAUGUGCUGAAUAACAAGAAGCCGGCAUUGGUGAAGGUGACAACAUUUCAUCUAUUUAUACAUACUUUUUAUUAUUAAAGCUUAUCUUAUAAUUAUUUCUGAAGAGAUUGACUAAUUUUUGUAGUAUUUAUGACUUAGAACUAUGAUAAAGCUAUGAAUUGAUAUAAUUCCUGAUUUGUUUUAUCUUUUCAUUAUCCUUCCUUUGUUAAUUGAGCAUUUUAUAUUACUUAGCUUAAAAAUGCAAGAACGGUUCAGAAGUAUCCAACCUUGGGCUAAGGGCCAAAAUUAUGGUAUCAUUCAAAAUGUCCUUCAAAGAAAGCCCUCUGUAAUCCAACACACUUAGCCCAUUAAUCCUUCCAUUUCUCAUCAAUUUGUUCAACAUUCAUAUUUUUCCCUUAUAGGGUUGAACAAUUUUCAUGGGUUCAGAGCAAAAGGCUUCCUCAUUCCUCCCCAAGGUAUUCUCGGAUGGUAAGCAGGUUUGACUCUGGAGCAAACCUGACCAAGGGCUACUGCCCAAGGCUACAGAGGUUCCUCUCCCUGAGGCUGAAUGCACCAUGUGAGAUGGUUCUGUUAUGUGGAUGAAUGUCAUGGUGGAUAGCAGUGCCACCACAUUCCUACAAUCAUCCAUCACUCCACUGCUCAAACGCUUCUGCAACCAAUGAUAGGUAUGCUGCCACAUUCUGCAUGGUCUCCUUGGCUCUCAGAUAAGGAUACUGUCAACAGGUUUGGGAUUGCCAAAAAAUCAUAAGGAGCUAUGUCUGAAAAGUCCAGAGAGAGAGAGAGAGAGAAAGAAUGAGCAAGAGAAAGAGUAGGAUGAAGCAAAGGAAGAGUCAAGAGGGAGGAAGAGAGAGUAGGACAAGAAAAAACAGAACAAAUAAAUCCCCUACACGUCUUGUCUCCAUUCACACAAGCCAUGAAAAGCUUGUCCAUCCCUGAGUGCUCAGAAGCAGUGUUCCACUGAUGAUGUGGAAACUUGAGACACCCAAUCAUUUAAUGGGCUUUAGUAGGUUUUGUCACCAGUCUUCUGUGUGUCACUGACUACAUUUUGAAAUUUUUAUCUGUUCUAUUUAAUUUUGUGUGUAUGUACACAAUGUUUAUGGUCAAUAAACUAUUUAUAAAACUAUUUAUCUGUGUGAGUAAGAUAAAAGCAGUUAUUGUUAUUAUUAUUAUUAUUAUUAUUAUUAUUAUUAUUAUUAUUAUUAUUACACAUUUUCCUCCUUGUAUUUAAAUAUUAUUAUUAUUAUUAUUAUUAUUAUUAUUAUUAUCAUGAAUUGUUCUUGUUUAUAAAUAAAAUACUGUAACUGA